rnacentral:rRNA from 1 species
AGAGAGAGACAUGCGCGCAUAUCAAUAAGCGGAGGAAAAGAAACUAACAAGGAUUCCCUUAGUAACGGCGAGUGAAGCGGGAAGAGCUCAAAUUUGAAAUCUUCAAGGUUUUACCUUGACGAAUUGUAGUUUAAAGAAGUGUUUUCCUGCUGAAGUUUUGGUAAAAGUUCUUUGGAAUAGGACAUCAUAGAGGGUGAGAAUCCCGUAUUUGACCAUUAUUUUCAGCUUUGUGAUACACUUUCAAAGAGUCGGAUUGUUUGGGAAUGCAGUCCAAAAUGGGUGGUAAAUUUCAUCUAAAGCUAAAUAUUGGCGAGAGACCGAUAGCGAACAAGUACCGUGAGGGAAAGAUGAAAAGAACUUUGAAAAGAGAGUUAAACAGUACGUGAAAUUGUCAAAAGGGAAGCGUUUGACACCAGUGUUGUUUUCUCGAAAAUCAAUUAAAAAAGGCAGGAUUUUGUGUUGUAUUGACUUUAUCAGCUUUCUCUGCACUCUUUUCUUGUCUUUUUUAAUGCACUUUUCGUUUAACAAGUCAACAUCAGUUUCUUUUGUUGUAAAAGGGUCAUUGGAAGGUGGCUUUCUUUUCGGAGAAAGUGUUUAUAGCCUUUGGCCUCUGCAAUCGAAGAGACUGAGGUCUGCAGCGUAGACUCUUCGGGGUUAGAUACAUUUGUGCUAAGUUAUAGCUUUUUAUAGACAACUUGUUGACUAUAAUUAGUCUUGUAGCUUACUCGCUUAUGCUAUUUUACCUACGCUUAGGAUGUUGAGUCGUAGAGCACGCAG